rnacentral:rRNA from 1 species
UUGCAUCGAUGAAGAACGCAGCGAAACGCGAUAGGUAAUGUGAAUUGCAGAAUUCCGUGAAUCAUCGAAUCUUUGAACGCACCUUGCGCUCCAUGGCAUUCCGUGGAGCAUGCCUGUUUGAGUGCCGCGAAAUCUCCCACCCCUAGCGGUUGCCGCAAGGCGCCGCCGGGCGGCGGGGUUGGUUGGGUGCCGCUGCCUGGGCUUUGGCCCAGGCUCGCCCGAAAUGCAUGAGCGCUUAGCACUCGCACCGUCUCGAGGGAAGGCGGCGGAGCUGGCAUCUGCGCAUGGCAUGAUACGUCAUUUGCUGUGUGGCAGCCCAGCGACCCGAGAGUGUGUGUGCGCUACUACACGCCCUUUCAUUUCUGGUCUCAAAUCAGGUAGGAUCACCCGCUGAACUU